rnacentral:rRNA from 1 species
AUUGACGCUGGCGGCAGGCCUAACACAUGCAAGUCGAACGCGUGGCGGACGGGUGAGUAAUGUCUGGGAAACUGCCUGAUGGAGGGGGAUAACUACUGGAAACGGUAGCUAAUACCGCAUACCAUCGAAUGUGCCCAGCUGGGAUUAGCUAGUAGGUGGGGUAAAGGCUCACCUACGCGACGAUCCCUAGCUGGUCUGAGAGGAUGACCAGCCACACGGGAACUGAGACACGGUACAGACACAUACGGGAGGCAGCAGUGUGGAAUAUUGCACAAUGGGCGAAAGCCUGAUGCAGCCAUGCCGCGUGUAUGAAGAAGGCCUUCGGGUUGUAAAGUACUUUCAGCGGGGAGGCGUUACCCGCAGAAGAAGCACAGGCUAACUCCGUGCCAGCAGCCGCGGUAAUAC